CGAGAGGCCCAAACGUUAUUCGGAUUUACUGGGCUUAAAGAGUUCGUAGGCGGCGCGGAAAGUAGGGUGUGAAAGCCCUCGGCUCAACCGAGGAAUUGCGCUCUAAACUACCGUGCUUGAGGAAGCUAGAGGUGAGCGGAACUGAUGGUGGAGCGGUGAAAUGCGUUGAUAUCAUCAGGAACACCGGAGGCGAAGGCGGCUCACUGGGGCUUUUCUGACGCUGAGGAACGAAAGCCAGGGGAGCGAACGGGAUUAGAUACCCCGGUAGUCCUGGCCGUAAACGAUGAGCACUGGACCGGAGGCCUGCACAGGUUUUCGGUCGUAGCGAAAGUGUUAAGUGCUCCGCCUGGGGAGUAUGGUCGCAAGGCUG
rnacentral:rRNA from 1 species